GUAACUGCGAGUGAAGCGGCAUAAGCUCAAAUUUGAAAUCUGGCGUCUUUGGCGUCCGAGUUGUAAUUUGGAGGGGCAUCUUCGGGGAGGACGCAGGUCUAAGUUCCUUGGAACAGGACGUCAUAGAGGGUGAGAAUCCCGUCAUUGGCUUGCUGCUCCUCUCCAUGUGAAGUGCCUCCGACGAGUCGAGUUGUUUGGGAAUGCAGCUCAAAAUGGGUGGUAAACUUCAUCUAAAGCUAAAUACUGGCGAGAGACCGAUAGCGCACAAGUAGAGUGAUCGAAAGAUGAAAAGCACUUUGAAAAGAGAGUUAAAAAGUACGUGAAAUUGUUGAAAGGGAAGCGCUUGAGACCAGACUCAGCGGGAGGUGAUCAGCGGUGCUUCUGUGCCGUGCACUCGCCUUCUGUUGGGCCAGCAUCGGUUUCGGUGGCGGGAUAAAGGCCAGGGGAACGUGGCUCCUCUCGGGGAGUGUUAUAGCCCCUGGUGCAAUGUCGCCUACCGGGACCGAGGACCGCGCUUCGGCUAGGAUGCUGGCGUAAUGGUCUUAAGCGACCCGUCUUGAAACACGGACCAAGGAGUCUAACAUCUAUGCGAGUGUUCGGGUGGAAAACCCUUGCGCGUAAUGAAAGUGAACGGAGGUGGGAACCCGCAAGGGUGCACCAUCGACCGAUCCUGAUGUCUUCGGAUGGAUUUGAGUAGGAGCAUAGCUGUUGGGACCCGAAAGAUGGUGAACUAUGCCUGAAUAGGGUGAAGCCAGAGGAAACUCUGGUGGAGGCUCGCAGCGGUUCUGACGUGCAAAUCGAUCGUCAAAUUUGGGUAUAGGGG
rnacentral:rRNA from 1 species